rnacentral:rRNA from 1 species
UACGUAGGGUGCGAGCGUUGUCCGGAAUUACUGGGCGUAAAGAGCUCAGGUGGUUUGUCGCGUUGUUCGUGAAAACCGGGGGCUUAACCCUCGGCGUGCGGGCGAUACGGGCAGACUGGAGUACUGCAGGGGAGACUGGAAUUCCUGGUGUAGCGGUGGAAUGCGCAGAUAUCAGGAGGAACACCGGUUGCGAAGGCGGGUCUCUGGGCCGAUACUGACGCUGAGGAGCGAAAGCGUGGGGAGCGAACAGG